UCAGCGCUGUGCGCGGCGGAGGCCCUGGGCGAUGCUCCUGGAGAGCUCCGGGCAGUCCAUCGGGUCCCCGAGGCCCGGCAGUGGCAUCGUCUCCUGUGCCCAGUGAGGCCCUUGGGUUCCCACUGAGGAGGUGCUUCCGAACACUGCUUGAAAGGCAGCCAUCAUGUGGAUGAGGUUCUAAAAGGUUUGUGGAAAGGCUUGUGAGGACUCGGGCUCCAGUCACCAGUUGGGCUCCCAGCCAGAACCCCUAUAGCCACGGGAAUGAGGCCAUUUUGGACGUUUCAGGCAGCUCUGCACCCCAGCCAAUACCAUGGGAAGCAGAAGAACCUUCUAAUCAGUCAACAGAAUUGUGAGAAAUGAACGACCACCACCAACAGCAGUAUUUCCAUUUCAUGAUGCACGUUGAUGAACCUGAAUUCUGGAGCACACCUGAAAAUAUGUUCAUUGAUAGUUGACAUUUCCAGGAAAUUUUAUGUUUUUCUGUGUUUAUUGUUACACUUCUCUAUGCAUAGUUUUGAGAGUUAUGAAUUCUUGCCUAUUCAGGUUUCCCAGACAUCAGCUAGAUUCCCAUAGGACUUGGGAGCUGCCUAAACUAACUGAAUUCCCUCGAGGUCUUCGCUUGAAAGCACUAUCUGAGUCUACCUGUUCUGUCCAUGAGCUUUCCCUGAAAUCAAUGACAGAUGGUCUGUUCCAUCGCUUUUCAUUUGGCGAAAAGUUGCUGUUAUCUCUCAUCCUUGGCUAAGCUGAGACUUUUUCUACCCCCCUCAGCUCCUCAGUUAAUCACUUUGCUUAUCAUGAUCUCUGGUCUUGCCUGCCUCUUCUUACAAGUUUUCAGAAUUCUCAGAACUUUUCUGGCAGUGGAAAUGGUCUCAGUAAUGUUAUCACUGUUGACUUUUAAAGUGAUACCAUAAAUAUAAUUUGACUCUGAAGAGGGAAGAGCAUUCUGUUUAUUUUUUUCCCUUGAAUUUAUUUAUCUUGGAAU